GAUCUAGCAAUGUGAAGUGAGAGGCCAUAAUAUACAGAGGUCUUCACCUCAACUGCGUCUGCUGACAUCCAGGCUGCAAGUUGAUUUUGUUUUAUAUACAGAUCUUCAAGCACUGGACAAAAUGUCUACAUGAAACAUUUCUCCAUUGCAUCAGCCCAGGUGUUUUAACAGCUGGAGUACGUGUGUGUUUUGUGCAACUCUGCUGCUCUCACAACUCGUGUACCCAUGGAAAGGGAUUGUCCUUGGCGUUCCUGUUUGAACUAUAAACCUGGCUAUUUAAUAAAAUGCUAAUAAAGUGUUUCUGAUAUCUGUUCUAUUAAUAAAGCUUUGACUUAUCUUA